rnacentral:rRNA from 1 species
CUAAGAAUAUUCCGCAAUGGACGAAAGUCUGACGGAGCGACGCCGCGUGGAUGACGAAGGCCGAAAGGUUGUAAAGUCCUUUUGCUGGGGAAGAAUAACCAUGGGAGGGAAUGCCCGUGGGAUGACAUGAACCGGCGAAUAAGUCCCGGCUAACUACGUGCCAGCAGCCGCGGUAACACGUAGGGGGCGAGCGUUGUUCGGAAUUACUGGGCGUAAAGGGCAGGUAGGCGGCUCUGUAAGCCUGGCGUGAAAGUCACCGGCUCAACCGGUGGAUUGCGCUGGGGAGUGCGGGGCUUGAAUCAUGGAGAGGGAGCUAGAAUUCCAGGUGGAGGGGUGAAAUCUGUAGAGAUCUGGAAGAAUACCAGUGGCGAAGGCGAGCUCCUGGCCAAUGAUUGACGCUGAGGUGCGAAAGUGUGGGGAUCAAACA